AUGACGGUGCUGCCCCCCUCCAGUGAGGAGCUGCAGCAUAGGGAAGGCCACACUCAUGUGACUAUUGCAAUGCUCUUUAUGUUGGUGUUUCCCAGUGAUGUCCGUCCCACCCUGACGGUGCUGCCCCCCUCCAGUGAGGAGCUGCAGCAGGGGAAGGCCACGCUCAUGUGCCUGGCCAACAAGGGCUUCCCCUCAGACUGGAGUCUGUCCUGGAAGGUGGACGGCAGCAGCAGCAGCAGCUGGGAGGAGAGCAGGAGCCCCGGGGUGCUGGAGAAGGACGGCCUCUACAGCUGGAGCAGCACCCUGAGGCUCCCUGCAGACCAGUGGAGGAAGGUGGUCUCUGUGAGCUGUGAGGCCACCCAGGGCUCCCAGACUCCAUUCUCAGAGACACUGAGGAGAGACCAGUGUUCCCAGUCCUGACUCACUCACUGGGACUCUCAUACUGGUCUGACUCUGUUACUGCUCUC